rnacentral:rRNA from 1 species
CCCUUAGAUGUUCUGGGCCGCACACGCGCUACACUGAAGGAGGCAGCGUGUACUCCUGGAUCGAAAGAUUUGGGUAACCCGCGAAUCUCCUUCGUGCUAGGGAUUGAGGUUUGCAAUUAUCCUUCAUGAACGAGGAAUUCCCAGUAAGUGCAAGUCAUAAGCUUGCGCUGACUACGUCCCUGCCCUUUGUACACACCGCCCGUCGCUACUACCGAUUGAAUGAUUUAGUGAGGACUUCGGACUGGGACCGAUGCGGCUUUCGGGCUGCGUCGGUAUUCUGGAAAGAUGUCUAAACUGUAUCAUUUAGAGGAAGUAAAAGUCGUAACA